AGCGAGCGGAACCACAGAUUUACUUCGGUAAUGACGUUGGGAAACCCAUCGGCGGAUGGGUGAGUAACACGUGGGGAACCUGCCCCUACGUCUGGGAUACCAUUUGGAAACAGGUGCUAAUACCGGAUAAUAAAGCGGAUCGCAUGAUCAGCUUUUGAAAGGCGGCGUAAGCUGUCGCUAAGGGAUGGCCCCGCGGUGCAUUAGCUAGUUGGUAAGGUAACGGCUUACCAAGGCGACGAUGCAUAGCCGAGUUGAGAGACUGAUCGGCCACAUUGGGACUGAGACACGGCCCAAACUCCUACGGGAGGCAGCAGUAGGGAAUCUUCCACAAUGGACGCAAGUCUGAUGGAGCAACGCCGCGUGAGUGAAGAAAGUUUUCGGAUCGUAAAGCUCUGUUGUUGGUGAAGAAGGAUAGAGGUAGUAACUGGCCUUUAUUUGACGGUAAUCAACCAGAAAGUCACGGCUAACUACGUGCCAGCAGCCGCGGUAAUACGUAGGUGGCAAGCGUUGUCCGGAUUUAUUGGGCGUAAAGCGAGCGCAGGCGGAAAAAUAAGUCUAAUGUGAAAGCCCUCGGCUUAACCGAGGAACUGCAUCGGAAACUGUUUUUCUUGAGUGCAGAAGAGGAGAGUGGAACUCCAUGUGUAGCGGUGGAAUGCGUAGAUAUAUGGAAGAACACCAGUGGCGAAGGCGGCUCUCUGGUCUGCAACUGACGCUGAGGCUCGAAAGCAUGGGUAGCGAACAGGAUUAGAUACCCUGGUAGUCCAUGCCGUAAACGAUGAGUGCUAAGUGUUGGGAGGUUUCCGCCUCUCAGUGCUGCAGCUAACGCAUUAAGCACU
rnacentral:rRNA from 1 species